rnacentral:rRNA from 1 species
AUGGAAGAGCAGGCACCUCCUGUUCCAACAUCUCGAAUUUCAGUCAGAAAAGCAAUAGAAGUAAUCCAGACAUUUGACGAUUACAAAAGGUGGCUCCUCACUGAAAUUGGGUUUGGUGGAAUCUUAAAGCUACCCAUGUUGCAGAAGCUUAAUCUUAAGUUCAGCGCAUGGACUAUGAGCAAGGUCUAUGUUGAGCGUCGAGCAAUUGUUCUAUCAGAAACAAAAGUACUCAAGUUUUUUGCGGAGGACAUCCACAAGGUGUUCGGCAUACCAUGUGGCCACCGGAAUGUUAAAGGCCGCGAUGGGUUCAUCAAGCCAGAGGCUGUGACCUUCAUAAAGAGGACGCUAGGGAUGGACAGGACGGGUGUGCAUAGUCUACGCGCGGCUGAGGAAUUCGUUAUGCGCGACAUUUCUGAGCCAGCAAGAUAG